GCAAGUGUGAAACUAUGGCUCAGUGGUAAAACAUUUGCUUUGCAUGCAGAAGGUCCCAGGUUCAAUUCUCAGCAUUUCCA
rnacentral:tRNA from 1 species